rnacentral:rRNA from 1 species
UUCGGUACAUCGGUGACAGGUGGUGCAUGGUUGUCGUCAGCUCGUGUCGUGAGAUGUUGGUUAAGUCCCGCAACGAGCGCAACCCCUAUUGUUAGUUGCCAUCAUUCAGUUGGGCACUCUAGCGAGACUGCCGGUAAUAAACCGGAGGAAGGUGGGGAUGACGUCAAAUCAUCAUGCCCCUUAUGACCUGGGCUACACACGUGCUACAAUGGUUGGUACAACGAGUUGCGAGUCGGUGACGGCGAGCUAAUCUCUUAAAGCCAAUCUCAGUUCGGAUUGUAGGCUGCAACUCGCCUACAUGAAGUCGGAAUCGCUAGUAAUCGCGGAUCAGCACGCCCGCGGUCGAAUACGUUCCCGGGCCUU